GGCUAGAUAAUAUGCUUAAAGCAGAGUAUCAAGGUUGAUAAACAUCAGGAAGCUGAAGACCGACACUGGCAGCAGAUUUCUUCAGUGUUCUCCUCAUUUCUUCUGCUCGAUCCACGGCUAUAUUGUAAGAAAACAAUAAUUCCUUAUGAUGAUGAAUACUGUUGAGCAGGAAAGUGUAGUCACGAGCAAGCUUCAAUUUAUGUUCAACGCCAUCUUGAUCGACAAGCUUAGAAUUCUGUCGGAACUCAUCAGUCACGAAAUCCUUGAAAUGUUGUUUGCUUCCAUUUUUACCUAUAUGUUUCUCGACGGCUCUGAGAAGGUGAUGAUAUGCCAUUCUACCUUGCAUUGUACUGGACUAUUAUAUUCUGAACAGGCGAUGAC
rnacentral:misc_RNA from 1 species